rnacentral:rRNA from 1 species
AGAGUUUGAUCCUGGCUCAGAAUCAACGCUGGCGGCGUGCCUAACACAUGCAAGUCGCACGAGAAAGGGACUUCGGUCCUGAGUACAGUGGCGCACGGGUGAGUAACACGUGAAUCAUCUACCUUCGAGUGGGGAAUAACUGAGAGAAAUCUUAGCUAAUACCGCAUAAUACCUACGGGUCAAAGCAGCAAUGCGCUUGAAGAGGAGUUCGCGGCAGAUUAGUUAGUUGGCGGGGUAAUGGCCCACCAAGACGAUGAUCUGUAUCCGGCCUGAGAGGGCGCACGGACACACUGGAACUGAAACACGGUCCAGACUCCUACGGGAGGCAGCAGUGGGGAAUUUUGCGCAAUGGGGGAAACCCUGACGCAGCAACGCCGCGUGGAGGAUGAAAUCCCUUGGGAUGUAAACUCCUUUCGAUCGGGAAGAUAAUGACGGUACCGAGAGAAGAAGCCCCGGCUAACUUCGUGCCAGCAGCCGCGGUAAUACGAGGGGGGCAAGCGUUGUUCGGAAUUAUUGGGCGUAAAGGGUGCGUAGGCGGUUUGAUAAGUUUGAUGUGAAAUCUCUGGGCUCAACCCAGAGUCUGCAUCGAAAACUGUCGGGCUUGAGUAUGGGAGAGGUGAGUGGAAUUCCCGGUGUAGCGGUGAAAUGCGUAGAUAUCGGAAGGAACACCUGUGGCGAAAGCGGCUCACUGGACCAUUACUGACGCUGAUGCACGAAAGCUAGGGGAGCAAACAGGAUUAGAUACCCUAGUAGUCC